UUUUAAAGUUAACAUGUGCAUAAAAGGAAACUGAAAAACACAAGAAGCAAAGAACAAAGUCAUCCAUAAUCACAAGCAGUUUACAGUUUGACUUCUAGGUCCCAUAUCGAAAGAACACAC